AGUGAACGCUGGCGGUAGGCCUAACACAUGCAAGUCGAACGGCAGCACAGUAAGAGCUUGCUCUUACGGGUGGCGAGUGGCGGACGGGUGAGGAAUACAUCGGAAUCUACUUUUUCGUGGGGGAUAACGUAGGGAAACUUACGCUAAUACCGCAUACGACCUACGGGUGAAAGCAGGGGAUCUUCGGACCUUGCGCGAUUGAAUGAGCCGAUGUCGGAUUAGCUAGUUGGCGGGGUAAAGGCCCACCAAGGCGACGAUCCGUAGCUGGUCUGAGAGGAUGAUCAGCCAAACUGGAACUGAGACACGGUCCAGACUCCUACGGGAGGCAGCAGUGGGGAAUAUCGGACAAUGGGCGCAAGCCUGAUCCAGCCAUACCGCGUAGGUGAAGAAGGCCUUCGGGUUGUAAAGCCCUUUUGUUGGGAAAGAAAAGCAGCAGGUUAAUACCCCGCUGUUCUGACGGUACCCAAAGAAUAAGCACCGGCUAACUUCGU
rnacentral:rRNA from 1 species